GGCAGUCGGAGGCCACUCUGAGCUGCAAGAGACCCAUCUUCAAAAAACAUAGGCAUUGUGGCACAUACCUUUAAUCCCAGCCUGGUCUACAGAGUGAGUUCCAAGAAAACCAGGGAUACACAGAAAAACCCUGUCUCAAAAAGUUUAAAAAAAAAAGGCUGGAGAGAUGGCUCAGCGGUUAAGAGCACUGACUGCUCCAGAGGUCCUGAGUUCAAUUCCCAGCAACCACAUGGUGGAUAACAGCCAUCUGUAAUGAGAUCUGAUGCCUUCUUCUGGUGUGUCUGAUGAUGGUAACAGUGUACUCACAUACCUACAUACAAUAAUAAAUAAGUCUUUAAAAAAAAAAGUUAAAAUAAUAGUAAACUAGACUUCUGUGCUCCCAAACAGCUCCUAGCUCAGCCCUCCUCUCAACCCCUCGCUUGCACAUCGGCACCCGCCAUUGUGCCUCCUGUCUGUGGUUUGGGCUCCAGGUGCUCUGGGUAAAUGCAGUCUGUGCCACUGAGGUUGGUGUCAUUGCAACUUCAGUCACCCCAUGUGACCAGUGGCUGCUCAGUUGGACCGUAACAUCCCAGAAAGGACAGUGAGAGUAAAGAGUGGUGACACAGCUGUGCGGUGGAGCUGUGGCCCGCAGAAGGCCCCCGGUGCACACUUCAGUGCCGGUGGGAAAACAAAAACAGAUUCCAGAGUGAUGGGCGGAGCCUUGCUGCCACACCAGCAAGAAUUUUCUAGGUGAGUGAAAAGUAGGCACAUGGAGAAUGCGCCACAGGCUUCCCGGGCUGCGGCGCACAGAGACCAUUAAGAGCAGACAGUCCUCACCUUGAAGGGUUGACAGGACCUCUCUGGACUGUUCCAGUCAGGCAAAGGCCAGACCCAGGGGCCUUGUGAAUGGCAAGAAAUGCCGGUGGCUGGUUUGUCAGCAGGAGACUGAAGUGGGUCUAAUUCUGCCCUCACUUUGAGGGCAAGGCCUAUAUCCCAUGAUGCAUGGCCUCCCUAGCUACUGGAACUGAUUUGGACCUGGUUCUCUGAGGUGUGAGGUCACAAGGCCCCUGGAGUUUAUUCUUAGGUCCCUGUUUGCUACAGAAUGGUUUUGGGUUGUUUGAUUUUUUGGGUUGUUUAUGGUUUUGGUUUUGAGACAGAGACUGAAAUUCACCUGUAGACCAGGCUAGCCUCAGACUCAAAAUUUCUGCCUGGCUGUAACUCGGAUGCUGGGAUUAAAGGUGUGCACCACCAUACCCAGCCAGAAUGGGUACUUAGAACAACAGGUCCUGCUGACCUACGGGCCAUGGCCACUAUCCUGUUUGUCCUCUGCUAAGAGACUUCACACCUGGGGCUGGGGAUUUAGCUCAGUGGUAGAGCGCUUACCUAGGAAGCGCAAGGCCCUGGGUUCAGUCCCCAGCUCCGAAAAAAAGAACCAAAAAAAAAAAAAAAAAA
rnacentral:lncRNA from 1 species